rnacentral:rRNA from 1 species
CGCAUCUGUGCAUGCAGCAUAUCAAUAAGCGGAGGAAAAGAAACUAACAAGGAUUCCCCUAGUAACGGCGAGUGAAGCGGGAAGAGCUCAAAUUUGAAAUCUUAAAGGGUUUCCCUUUACGAAUUGUAGUUUAAAGAAGUGUUUUCUGUUGAGGUUUUGGUAAAAGUUCUUUGGAAUAGGACAUCAUAGAGGGUGAGAAUCCCGUAUUUGACCUUUACCUUUCAACUUUGUGAUACACUUUCAAAGAGUCGGAUUGUUUGGGAAUGCAGUCCAAAAUGGGUGGUAAAUUUCAUCUAAAGCUAAAUAUUGGCGAGAGACCGAUAGCGAACAAGUACCGUGAGGGAAAGAUGAAAAGAACUUUGAAAAGAGAGUUAAACAGUACGUGAAAUUGUCCAAAAGGGAAGCGUUUGACACCAGUGUUGUUUUUCUGAAAAUCAAUUAAAGAACUGUUUAUGCUAAGUUGUUUAGACUUUAUCAGCUAACUGUUUAGUUUUGAGCUUUUCUUUAAUGCACUUUUCAGUUAACAAGUCAACAUCAAUUUCUUUUGCUGUAAAAAAGCUUGAGGAAGGUGGCUUGAGAUUCGUCUUAAGUGUUUAUAGCCUCUUGCCUAUGCAGUCGGAGAGAUUGAGGUCUGCAGCGUAGAUCCUUCGGGGCUAAAUGCAUUUGUGCUAAGUUAUAGCAUUUUAUAGACAACUUGUUGACUAUGAUUUGUCUUGUAGCUUACUCGCUUAUGUUAUUUUACCUACGCUUAGGAUGUUGAACGCGCACAGAGUCUC